GGGCAGCAGUAGGGAAUAUUGCGCAAUGGACGAAAGUCUGACGCAGCAACGCCGCGUGGAUGAUGAAGCUCUUUGGAGUGUAAAAACCUGUCAGCGGGGAAGAAACGUAUAAGAAGUAACUGUCUUAUACCUGACGGUACCCGCAGAGGAAGUCCCGGCUAACUCCGUGCCAGCAGCCGCGGUAAUACGGGGGGGACAAGCGUUGUUCGGAUUCACUGGGCGUAAAGGGCGCGUAGGCUGAUCUUUAAGUCGGAUGUGAAAACUUGCAGCUCAACUGCAAGCCUGCAUUCGAAACUGGAGGUCUUGAGUACAGUAGAGGAAAGCGGAAUUCCAGGUGUAGCGGUGAAAUGCGUAGAUAUCUGGAAGAACACCGGUAGCGAAGGCGGCUUUCUGGGCUGAUACUGACGCUGAAGCGCGAAGGCUUGGGUAGCAAACAGGAUUAGAUACCCCUGUAGUC
rnacentral:rRNA from 1 species